rnacentral:tRNA from 1 species
GGACGAUUAGCUCAGUUGGUAGAGCACUACCUUCACACGGUAGGGGUCACUGGUUCGAGUCCAGUAUCGUCCACCA